AAGACCUUGCACUUUUGGAGCGGCCGAUGUCUGAUUAGCUAGUUGGUGGGGUAAUGGCCUACCAAAGCUUCGAUCAGUAGCUGGUCUGAGAGGACGGCCAGCCACACUGGGACUGAGACACGGCCCAGACUCCUACGGGAGGCAGCAGUGGGGAAUUUUGGACAAUGGGCGCAAGCCUGAUCCAGCCAUGCCGCGUGAGUGAAGAAGGCCUUCGGGUUGUAAAGCUCUUUCAGCCGGAACGAAACGGUUACGGUUAAUACCCAUGACUACUGACGGUACCGGAAGAAGAAGCACCGGCUAACUACGUGCCAGCAGCCGCGGUAAUACGUAGGGUGCGAGCGUUAAUCGGAAUUACUGGGCGUAAAGCGUGCGCAGGUGGUUUUGUAAGUCAGAUGUGAAAUCCCCGGGCUUAACCUGGGAACU
rnacentral:rRNA from 1 species